GAUGAACGCUGGCGGCGUGCCUAAUACAUGCCAGUCGAGCGAACGGACGAGAAGCUUGCUUCUCUGAUAUUAGCGGCGGACGGGUGAGUAACACGUGGAUAACCUACCUAUAAGACUGGGAUAACUUCGGGAAACCGGAGCUAAUACCGGAUAAUAUUUUGAACCGCAUGGUUCAAAAGUGAAAGACGGUCUUGCUGUCACUUAUAGAUGGAUCCGCGCUGCAUUAGCUAGUUGGUAAGGUAACGGCUUACCAAGGCAACGAUGCAUAGCCGACCUGAGAGGGUGAUCGGCCACACUGGAACUGAGACACGGUCCAGACUCCUACGGGAGGCAGCAGUAGGGAAUCUUCCGCAAUGGGCGAAAGCCUGACGGAGCAACGCCGCGUGAGUGAUGAAGGUCUUCGGAUCGUAAAACUCUGUUAUUAGGGAAGAACAUAUGUGUAAGUAACUGUGCACAUCUUGACGGUACCUAAUCAGAAAGCCACGGCUAACUACGUG
rnacentral:rRNA from 1 species